CGAAAGCCUGACGGAGCAAUACCGCGUGAGGGAUGACGGCCUAUGGGUUGUAAACCUCUUUUCUCAGGGAGGAAAUCAAUGACGUUACCUGAGGAAUAAGCAUCGGCUAACUCCGUGCCAGCAGCCGCGGUAAGACGGAGGAUGCAAGUGUUAUCCGGAAUCACUGGGCGUAAAGCGUCUGUAGGUGGCUUAACAAGUCAACUGUUAAAUCUUGAAGCUCAACUUCGAAAUCGCAGUCGAAACUGUUAGGCUAGAGUAUAGUAGGGGUAAAGGGAAUUUCCAGUGGAGCGGUGAAAUGCGUAGAGAUUGGAAAGAACACCGAUGGCGAAGGCACUUUACUGGGCUAUUACUGACACUCAGAGACGAAAGCUAGGGUAGCA
rnacentral:rRNA from 1 species